AAGUCGUAACAAGGUCUCCGUUGGUGAACCUGCGGAAGGAUCAUUACCGAGUGCGGGCCCUUUCUGGGCCUAACCUCCCACCCGUGUCUCUUGCGCACCCUGUUGCUUUGGCGGGCCCACCGGGUCAUUCCGGUCGCCGGGGGGCACCAUGCCCCCGGGCCCGCGCCUGCCAGAGCACCCCUGUGAACCCUGAGGAAGAGUGGCUGUCUGAGUCGGAUGAUAAUCAUUAAAACUUUCAACAAUGGAUCUCUUGGUUCCG
rnacentral:misc_RNA from 1 species